GGAGGGGUGUCCGAGUGGUUUAAGGAGGCGGUCUUGAAAACCGCUGGCCGAGCAAUCGGCCCGGGGGUUCGAAUCCCUCCCCCUCCGCCA
rnacentral:tRNA from 1 species